UACGUAGGGGGCUAGCGUUGUCCGGAUUUAUUGGGCGUAAAGAGCGUGUAGGCGGCCAGGUAGGUCUGCUGUGAAAACUCGAGGCUUAACCUCGAGAUGUCGGCGGAAACCAUCUGGCUAGAGUCCGGAAGAGGAGAGUGGAAUUCCUGUUGUAGCGGUGAAAUGCGCAGAUAUCAGGAAGAACACCCGUGGCGAAAGCGGCUCUCUGGAACGGUACUGACGCUGAGACGCGAAAGCGUGGGGAGCAAACAGG
rnacentral:rRNA from 1 species